GUAAAAGCAAUGAUUAGUUAUCUAUAUUCUGAAUCACUAUUUGAAGACGAAUUCAAACAACUCUUUAAAAACUUUUUUGUUCUAAGUUGUUCAAAAGUGUUCUUUCAGUUGAAACGAAACAAUAUCUUGUGAAAAUUGUUACUAUAUAGUGUAGCCGCCACGAUAGUGACAAAUUCAAAUAAAAGCAUUGUGUGACUUGGAAAUAAAAUUAACGAAAAAUUGAAAUUUUUAAAUUAUUCUUCAAUAGAUAAUUAGAAAACUAAAAUUUUAUUUCACCACUCUCUGGACUAUAGGAUUGAGAAUUAAAAUUGACGAAGGAUUUAUAUGAUAGAGAGCGCCAAAUUGACAGAGAAUUUAUAAACGUCGAGUAUCAGGAACAAGGAUUUUUUUUAAAUUAUGGCGACCGUGGUAAAUUUUUCUCCCAUAACAAAAGAUCUUGUUGAAAAGGUUUUGCUUGAUUCUGAUGAUACAUCUGUUCGUUGGCUGCAAAUAACAAUUCCCAACAAAAGUUUUGUGUCAGGAAUAUCUAAAGCGUCAUUAAUCAAUUUUGGCUUUGAUUGUAAACUAGAGUUUUAUAAAGCUGAAAACGAUUUCCGUGCGUUCAUGAAAUUUAAUGAAUGUACUUUAAAAAAAAAAUUUAAAGUCACUUGUUAUGAAGUACACAAUCAGUAUGUAUAUAUGGGAAAAACCACUGAAAUAAACACUAGUCUGUUUAAUGCUUUCAUCUGUGUUGCAGAUUUUUACAUUUUGAAUAGGGACUCCUCUAAUGACAUUAGUUUUAUCUGCAAGAUAGAGCAGAUAAAUGUUCCUGAUUUAGAUGUUGUUAUUUCUAAAAAUAUAACGUCUGCGAAAUUUCUCUCUCUUUACGAAGAAAAAAAAUUAACAGAUUUUAAAAUAAUUUGUGAAGAUCAAGAAUUUUGCGUACAUAAAAUAAUUCUUGUGUGUCAAUCCGAUGUAUUUCAAGCCAUGUUUGAAAAUCCAAUGAAAGAAUCUCAAGAAAAUGUACUUACUGUUAGUGAUUUUGAACCAAAAAUUGUUCAAGCAAUGAUUAGAUAUUUAUAUACUGAUGAAAUCACAGAAAAUCUAUCUGAAGACGAAUUGAAACAAUUAUUAUUGAUAGCGAACAAAUAUAAUUUGGAAGAUUUGAAAAAACUCUCUUUAAAGAAAAUAUGUAAAUUAAUAAAAGACUUCAAAGGAGCAUACGAAUUACUUUUAUAUAUUGAAUCCUAUAAUUUCGAUGAUUUGAGGGAUUUAAUGAUUAAAUUCAUGAGCGAUAAUGCACAUUUACUGUCAAAAAAAUAAUAUUUCGAUCAGAACAUUUGUUAAUUUAAUUAACUGUAUGUCCAUGUUUGUAAAAACAACUCUUAAGUUCUGAAAAUUUAUUAUUGUAUGGAUUUUUUUUGUUCGUUCCUACUUUUAUAAGAAUGUAUACUUCUGCUAAUUAAUAAAUCUACUGCGUUCUUAACUUAGUGGACUGCAUUUUUUAUAUAUUUUUAUGUGUAAAUUUCAGGAAAAAUAAAAACAGGAUUUUUAUUGAAAAUAUUUAACUAUGUGAAAUAUUUUAUAGUAAUUAAUUAAAUUAAAUAUUUUGUUUUUUAAUACAUAUUUUUAUACUUGAAAUAUUAGUAGGAAAAUAUAAACUGUAAAAUUAAAAAACAGCCGCGCAAAAAUUUUUCGACUUAAGCACACUCUGGACAACAGAAUUGAGAAUUAAAAUCUUCGAAAGAGUGAAUUCAAAUCAAGUGUUAUAGAGAACUGUUCAAUUCGCAGCAUUCGCAGUUUGUCGCCGUCACGAUAGUGACAAAUUAAAGUAAAUUCAUUGUGGGACAUGUAAAUAAAAUUAACGAAAAAUUGAGAUUAUUCUUCGAUUAUUUACCUACUAAGUAUUUACUGGCAUUUUUAUUUACGAAUUAUUAAAGGUUUGCAGUAAAUCUUUGCACUUUUUUCAAAAAUAUGCCAGUUGGUAUACAAAUUUCCAAUGCAUUCAGACAACUUGGCGAAUCUGCGGAUAUUCUUCCGGGAAAAUAUAUUAAUUACAUAGGAUUAAUAUUUACUAAUGAAGAAGUAAAGUCAAAAUCACCUCCUCCCAUGAUCACAUUUCAAAAGAAUCCAACAAUUUCAUUUUAUUUUAAAUUGGAAGACAUUGAUGGUAUUAGGUUUAGUUGUAGCAUUGCAUUUUCACAAACAGUACCGAAUACACACUAUCAAAUAACACUUUAUCACACAAACUCUUUAGGCGAAAUGAAAAUGAAUGAUACAAUUAACUUAACCGAAAUAACAAAAGGCAUUACUUCUAAAUUUAAGAAACAGUUUUGUUUAACUAAUGAGGAUGAUUCAAAUAUUUACAUAUUGUUAAAAAUAAAGGAAGUAAAACCAUCUGAGGAAAUAGAUAUUCCAAAAAAUCAAAUGUCUGUGAAAUUUCUCUCUCUAUAUGAGGAAAAAAAAUUAACUGACUUCAAAAUAAUCUGCAAAGAUCAAGAAUUUUGCGUUCAUAAACUGAUUCUCGUUUGUCAGUCCGAUGUUUUUCAAGCAAUGUUUGAAAAUCCAAUGAUAGAAUCUCGAGAGAAUGUACUUGUAAUAAGUGAUUUUGAACCAAAAAUUGUAGAAGUAAUGAUUCGUUAUCUUUAUUCUGAUGAAAUGACAGAAUCACUAUCUGAAGACGAAUUUAAACAAUUAUUAUUAAUUGCAAACAAAUAUAAUUUGGAAAAAUUGGAAAAAAUUUGUUUCAGCGAGAUUUUGAAAGUAAUAAAAACCUUUGAGCAAGCUGUAGAUUUAGCUAUUUUAACUGAUUCUCACAAUUUUGUCGAUAUGAAAAAGUUGGUAAUUCAAUUUAUAAGAGAAAAUAAAAAUAUUAUGAUGUAAAAAAUUCUUACUUUAAUAUAAGCGUUAACAGAGGGUUGUAUGUUAAAACUUAAAAAGUUUUCUGUUGUAAUUUAUUGUUUAGAAUUAUUCUUCUUUCGGUUGAACAGAAAAAUUUUCCUGUAAAAAUUUUUAUUGUAUGAUUCAAUAAAAGUCUUUUGUUUAUUUGCAAAA